rnacentral:rRNA from 1 species
AUGAACGCUAGCGGCAGGCUUAAUACAUGCAAGUUGAGGGGCAGCAUGAUAUACGCGAGUAUAUUGAUGGCGACCGGCGGACGGGUGAGUAAUAGGUAGGAGACCUAACCUCAUACAGGGGGAUAGCAUAGAGAAAUCUGUGGUAAUACCCCAUGAGGUUAUAUGAAUAGAGGCAUAUAAUCAAAGCAUAAGCGAUUAUGCGGUAUGAGAGGGGCCUACUGACCAUUAGCUAGUUGGUGAGGUAAGGGCUCACCAAGGCGAAGAUGGUUAGGGGUUUUGAGAGAGAGACCCCCCACAUUGGAACUGAGAGACGGUCCAGACUCCUACGGGAGGCAGCAGUAGGGAAUAUUGGGCAAUGGGCGAAAGCCUGACCCAGCCAUGCCGCGUGAAGGAAGACGGCCUUAUGGGUUGUAAACUUCUUUACUACGCGAAUAGAGGUUAGUACGAGAUACUAAUAGGAAGGUAGUGUAGUAAAAAGCACCGGCUAACUCCGUG